rnacentral:rRNA from 1 species
GGCCUAUCAGCUUGUUGGUGGGGUAAUGGCCUACCAAGGCGUCGACGGGUAGCCGGCCUGAGAGGGUGGACGGCCACAUUGGGACUGAGACACGGCCCAGACUCCUACGGGAGGCAGCAGUGGGGAAUAUUGCACAAUGGGCGCAAGCCUGAUGCAGCGGCGCCGCGUGGGGGAUGAAGGCCUUCGGGCUGUAAACUCCUUUCAGCCAUGACGAAGCUGGCCUUGUUGGGUCAGUGACGGUAGUGGUAGAAGAAGCACCGGCUAACUACGUGCCAGCAGCCGCGGCAAUACGUAGGGUGCGAGCGUUGUCCGGAAUUACUGGGCGUAAAGAGCUCGUAGGUGGUUUGUCACGUCGUCUGUGAAAUUCCGGGGCUUAACUCCGGGCGUGCAGGCGAUACGGGCAUAACUUGAGUACUGUAGGGGAGACUGGAAUUCCUGGUGUAGCGGUGAAAUGCGCAGAUAUCAGGAGGAACACCGAUGGCGAAGGCAGGUCUCUGGGCAGUUACUGACGCUGAGGAGCGAAAGCAUGGGUAGCGAACAGGAUUAGAUACCCUGGUAGUCCAUGCCGUAAACGGUGGGCGCUAGGUGUGGGGGUCUUCCACGACUUCCGUGCCGUAGCUAACGCAUUAAGCGCCCCGCCUGGGGAGUACGG